rnacentral:rRNA from 1 species
GACGUAGGUGGCGAACGUUAUCCGGAAUUAUUGGGCGUAAAGGGUGCGUAGAUGGCCUGAUAAGUUAGCAGUGGGAAAUCGAGGCUCAACCUCGUGGAAGCUGGUAAUACUGUCAGGCUCGAGUGCAGGAGAGGUUAACGGAACUCCAUGUGGAGCGGUAAAAUGUGUAGAUAUAUGGAAGAACACCAAUAACGGCGAAGGCAGUUAACUAUUCUGUUACUGACAUUGAGGCACGAAAGCGUGGGGAGCAAAACAG